rnacentral:rRNA from 1 species
CGGCGGACGGGUGAGUAACGCGUGGGUAACCUGCCUCAUACAGGGGGAUAACAGUUAGAAAUGACUGCUAAUACCGCAUAAGACCACGGUACCGCAUGGUACAGUGGUAAAAACUCCGGUGGUAUGAGAUGGACCCGCGUCUGAUUAGGUAGUUGGUGGGGUAACGGCCUACCAAGGCGACGAUCGGUAGCCGGACUGAGAGGUUGAACGGCCACAUUGGGACUGAGACACGGCCCAG